UGCCAUGAUGCCAGAUGGACAUGAUGAGCCAUACAAAACAACAUCUUUCUCCAUCCUUGUUUAAAUUCUUCCCCCAUUCACUCACUCAGAUCACCCUCUGAGAACUCUUGAUUCAUCUCUUCUUCAUGCAUGGUUUGGGGAGCAGAAAAUCAUAUUGGUAAAAGGGUAGAUCAGUUUGAAGAUUGAAGAAGUUUUGCAGGGGUGGAUCAACAACGGCAGAAGGUUGCAGAGAGGGGCUUUUGAAGAAGAAGACUUACUAUGAGAAUUGUCCUGGCUGUAAAGUAGACCAAUAUAAAGAGUUGCAACGAGGUUUACCCAUCAGAGAGCUUGUUUCCACAUGGAUUGUUGUGCUUUGUACUGGAGCAUCCAUACUUGAACAGGCCAUGGUUCAAAUUACAUCCAUGUGGGACAUGUGAGUGGAUGAAGCUGCUUUUUCAUGUUGAUGUUUCUGUGGCUAAAAAUGGAGUGACGAUUGAACUCUAUCUGCUUUCAUGGCUCUCAGUCGUUGGGCAAGUGGUUGGUCUUAGAAUUCCUCUUGAAAUGCUGAAUCAGCUAUAAUGACUUGUUGAUAACAGUUUCUUUGAUAAUAUCUGCACAUGAUUUCUUUUUUCUACAUUCUACUAAAUGAACAUACUGGAAAUCCCCUUUAUUGCA